AUACGGAGGGUGCAAGCGUUGUCCGGAUUUAUUGGGUUUAAAGGGUGUGUAGGCGGUGUAUUAAGUCAGUGGUGAAAGCCUGCGGCUCAACCGUAGAACUGCCAUUGAUACUGACACACUUGAGUUUGGUUGAGGUAGGCGGAAUUUAUGGUGUAGCGGUGAAAUGCAUAGAUACCAUAAAGAACACCGAUAGCGAAGGCAGCUUACUAAGCCGAAACUGACGCUGAGGCACGAAAGCGUGGGGAGCGAACAGGAUUAGAUACCCCGGUAGUCC
rnacentral:rRNA from 1 species